rnacentral:rRNA from 1 species
AAUGGGGGAAACCCUGAUCCAGCAAUGCCGCGUGAGUGAUGAAGGCCUUAGGGAUGUAAAACUCUUUCAGAAGUGAAGAUGAUGACGGUAACUUCAGAAGAAGCUCCGGCUAACUCCGUGCCAGCGGCCGCGGUAAUACGGAGGGAGCUAGCGUUGUUCGGAAUUACUGGGCGUAAAGGGCGUGUAGGCUGUUAGGUAAGUCAGAGGUGAAAUCCCUAAGCUCAACUUAGGAACUGCCUUUGAUACUAUCUUACUAGAGAUCGAGAGAAGUUGGCGGAAUUCCAAGUGUAGAGGUGAAAUUCGUAGAUAUUUGGAAGAACACCAGUGGCGAAAGCGGCCAACUGGCUCGUAUCUGACGCUGAGACGCGAAAGCGUGGGUAGCAAACAGGAUU